GUCCUGUGGUGAAAAAAUCAUAUUGAAUUGCAAAUUCAAAGAAGCAGCUUCAAUUCUGCCGGGGCUU
rnacentral:tRNA from 2 species